UUUCGGGCAAGUGCAAGAAUGUUAAAUUUGUAGUUGUUUCUCAUUUGAAUCAUUAGAAAAAGAAGGAACUGGUGCCGGGAGUUCUAAAGAGGAAAUAAAGUGGAUUGCAGAAAAGGAGUAGUGGUUUCUGCAAGGAAAGCCUAAGAGAGAAAAAAAGAAGAGAAAGUGAACCUAGGACUUAAACCUCGUAAUGAUUGUGGCAUGUGAAGCAGGGGUCAACAGAAGAGAGUGACGUUCUUCAGGUCACAGAUUGGGAAAGACUUUGGAAUUUGGAUGAGGGGCCAGUAAAGGAAAAGAUUUCUCUUGGCAUUUGUGUUAUCGGCACAAAACAACAUGCAUCUACACGCUCUUCAUUGAAAUUGAGGAUAAGAAGCUCGGACAAAUUCCUGUUGUAGUUUAAAGAGUAACUGAGAUUGUAAUCGUCUGAAAUGCUUGGGAGGCAAUUUACUACUAUGCAGUGCUAGCGUGACUGGAAUAGAAAUGUUGUGACUUUUGGAUCUUGAAUCAGAAUGUUGAAUAGUGAUAACAGAAACUAUGUAAAUAAAUGCGAAAACGAAUCAUUGUUGUGAUCUUUUCAUGUCAUGACACAGACGAAAAAACUGCAAUGUCUGUGCAGAACGCCUCGGGGAAAGUGCUACGUGGCAUAUGCAUGACAAGGCGCCCUCUCGUGGCGGGUGGUGGGCAUAAACUCCUACGUGCUCGAGUAAUUUCUGAAUACAGGAUGUUUGCACAGGAAGCCAUACAAGGGUCAUGGAGAUACAGAAAACACUCAUUUCCCCAAUUUGGCUGAUAGAAAAAGACAAAUGCAUGGAAUAAAAAGCUUUUUGUUUUGUCA